AGCGAACGCUGGCGGCAGGCCUAACACAUGCAAGUCGAACGAACCCUUCGGGGUUAGUGGCGGACGGGUGAGUAACACGUGGGAACGUGCCUUUAGGUUCGGAAUAACUCAGGGAAACUUGUGCUAAUACCGAAUGUGCCCUUCGGGGGAAAGAUUUAUCGCCUUUAGAGCGGCCCGCGUCUGAUUAGCUAGUUGGUGAGGUAAUGGCUCACCAAGGCUACGAUCAGUAGCUGGUCUGAGAGGAUGACCAGCCACAUUGGGACUGAGACACGGCCCAAACUCCUACGGGAGGCAGCAGUGGGGAAUCUUGCGCAAUGGGCGAAAGCCUGACGCAGCCAUGCCGCGUGUAUGAUGAAGGUCUUAGGAUUGUAAAAUACUUUCACCGGGGAAGAUAAUGACGGUACCCGGAGAAGAAGCCCCGGCUAACUUCGUGCCAGCAGCCGCGGUAAGAC
rnacentral:rRNA from 1 species